CAAAGUAUGAACCCAAGUAUAGCUGGAUGACCAAGGAGCCCUCUUCCAUCUGACUGAAUCUCAUCCAAUUUUGAGGGGAGGAGCCUGCAUGGAGAGCAAACUCUGGGGUAAAAUUACAUGAUCUCACUGCCUGAAGGAUACCAGGCUUAGGUGCAGAGUCACAAAAGUGAAACUGUGCACCUACUACCCGCCAGGAAAUGAACCAGGCCAUGAGAACACAAAACAGGCAGACACAGACGGCCCUUGAGUUCACGGAAAGCAGAUUCUCAUGCAGAUCACAUUAACCUCACAGGGCAAACAAGAGAUUAAAGUGCUGGGAAUAGGGAUACCAGACUUGAGAGUUGGAGAGCUUGCCCCUGACCUCUGUCUAUCAUCAUAAAGAAUACACCAUAAGAAGACGUAGUUCAGGAAAUGAAACUAGAGGGCUGCCACACUUUUCAACUUUCUGUCUAUUAAGCAUUACUUCAGAAAGAUUCGGUCAUGUCAGUGAAAAACAAUUCUGAAAUCACGCAAUUACCGAACAGCUCAAGGCAUAUCAUCAACGUACUUGAAAACAAAGGAUUUUCUACUGGCAGUGUGCUUUGCUGUGGCAUCGAUGUAUCUUCUAAGUUGCAGUCACCCUCCAUAGGGCUAUUCACGAAUAUGAUACAUCUUAAACUCUAUAUAGCUGCUAUGAACAUUCCUGUAUGUUUUCUUUUCUCUUGGAUAAGUACCUAGGAAUGGAAUGGUUCCUAUACAUGAUAUUUCCAAAAAUGAAAUGGGAGGGCCAAAUCUGCUCUUUAAGAUAUAAAAAAUGUAAGACUGACACUUCACUCGUAACAAUGAGAACAAGUUGGUUAAAGACACACAGAAAGCUAAGUAAACUAAAUUCUCAAAAUAAAUGAGCUCUUCCUAGUAGAAAAGAGCUCUCAGGGCUGAUUUCAUUGCUGGAGGAAGGAUGACCAGAGAAGGAAAUCUCCACAGGUGGAGUAAAAGAAACCAGCUGAUUUUCUUCAUAAACAUAUCCAGCCCCUGUGAGCUGAGAUGAUGAUCCUGAGUUCCAGGUAGGAUCCUGCUGAAGGCUGGGCAGAAGGCAGCAAAGAAGAGCGAAAGUUACAUCUGGGCUGUAAAGCAGAGAGAGAAGCUAUUAUUUGAAAACUGGUGACACACUGUGAAGCACAAACAGCUCUUUGGCUAUUUGUUAGCACUGUGUUGAUGAAAAGUCCUGAUCCUGCCUUCAAAACAUUUGAAGCUGCGGUAAACUGAAGCUAACUUGAUGCACAACAGAGCCCAGACCUAACUCAGUGAGAGAAACAAUUGCCUCUGAUCCCUAUGGUAGCCUCCUGACAGAGGGCAAAUAAUAUUUAUUUCAAACUCUGCUCUGCCUCUAUAACCAAUGUCCAAAAUAUAAUUUAAAAAAUAUGAAACACAAACAGAAGCCAGAAAUGUGACUCAUACUGAAGAGAAUCACAGGCAUCAGAAGCAGAUGCCCAGAUAGCCCACAUAUUGGAAUCAGUAGACACGAGUUUCAAAGCAACUAUGAAAAGCAUACACGUGAUACAUCUUCUCCACACUUUUACUUAUAAAUUCUGUGUGUUUUUAGCUUUGAAGUGUGAUGUUUCUUAUAAUGCCUGUAAAACUGUUUACUGUUUGGCAGGAUAUUGUUGUAAUUCAAAGAUGCAUAUGGUAAAUUUGAGUUAAAAAUUUAACACACAGAAAAAUAUCUAAAAAGUCAAUUGUGGGAAUGAUAUAUAACAGUAAAAAGCAUACUCAAUUUACCCAAAAGAAGGGAGGAAGGAAGAAUAAAGGUAUAAGGAAUACAUGGGAAAAAUAGAAAAUAAAUAGCAAAACGGUCAACUUUAACCUAAACCUAUCAAUAUUUAGAUAAAAUAUAAAUGCACUAAACAGUCUAAAAAAUGUUUCAAAAUCCAGAAUUGUAAGACUAAAUAAGAGAGAAAAGCCAGCCUCAUGCUGUUUCUAAGGCUCCUCAGACUCAUAAAACCACUUUUGUCUAACUAGGUGUUCUGGGCACCACCUUCAGUCAUUCAGAGAUCUCAUGUAAAGGUCGUACACCUGCCCAAGGGGUCUGUCAUAUCUCACUGCAUUCUCUCCAAUGGUUAUUUGUUAUUCAGAGUUUUGUGACAGAAGAACCAUUCAAAGUUACCUAACAUUUCUGUGUACUAGAAUUUGCGCGUGUUUGGCUAUUUAAAUCUUACCACAAAAAAUAAAAUAAAAAUAUGAUUCCAAUUUUAUGUAAGGGACAUUGAGGUUAUUUAAAAAUUAUAAGUUUAUAAAUAAUAACAGAUUUCUCCAAGAGCUUUCCCUUAGAAGACAUGGGAGCUGGGACAUAAUCUUUAGACUUUUUACCUCCCAAUUCUGUAUUCUUCUGAACACUACUCCUUCUCAAAAUAAGCAUAUUGCACUUGAACUGUGAGAAUUAGACAAGGCAUCUGCAUAACAUUACUUGUAGUUACUGAAUUUCUAAACUUAUAAUAUCAAUAAAUGCCUCAUUCCUGAUUAAGAGCUGAAAGGAGCCCUAAUAAUCAAAAAUUACAAAGCAUCGAUUUGAGGACUAUAAAUAACAAAGAAAAUUGUUUUCAAAUUCCCCCAUCUAUUCAUUAGGAAAGUUUUAAAAUGAGAUUAGAUUUAGAGGGAUGAUUAUAAUCAAGGUCAAUUAUGUAAGUGUUCCAACUACACACCACAUAUUUCUGUAUAUUAAGCUAUGACCCUAACAUUUGCUUCGGGCCACAUUCAAAACUGUGCUGAAUAAUCAUUUCUACCUGUAAUGCAUUUACUAAUUGGUAAAAUAUGUCUUUGUCAAUUGGACUCAUUCUAAACUAUUUUCAUUUCAUUAACUGAAAAUAUUGAGUUGAUUUUCUUCAAAUUGCCAUAGAUUUACCUUGACUCAUUGACAUUUAAACUUAUACAUUUCUUUCUAAAAAAAAUAAAUCCCAUCACAAACCAAUAGACAUCCUCAUUUGCAAAUCUUACUGAGGGUACUUUCAAUCUUAUUUAUCUGAUGGUUUUUGGAUGAAAGUAAUACAUUGAAUGUAAACAAAUAAUCCAAUUUUCAAUAAAAGUUGCCAUUUAUCAGUGA
ensembl:lncRNA